rnacentral:siRNA from 1 species
CUAAGCACGGUGCCGCGAAGACAC